rnacentral:tRNA from 1 species
GCUUAGUUGGUCAGAGCAUUGGUGCGUAAAGCCAAAGGUCCCGGGUUCGAUUCCCGG